CUUCUCGUGGUGUAGUGGCAACGCGCCCGUCUAAUGUGUAGGAGUCUUGAGUUCGAGUCUCACCGAGAGGA
rnacentral:tRNA from 1 species